rnacentral:rRNA from 1 species
UUGUUUGGAGAGUUUGAUUCUGGCUCAGGACGAACGCUGGCGGCGUGCUUAACACAUGCAAGUCGAACGGAAAGGCCCUUCGGGGUACUCGAGUGGCGAACGGGUGAGUAACACGUGGGUGAU